rnacentral:rRNA from 1 species
AACGAACGCUGGCGGCAGGCUUAACACAUGCAAGUCGAACGCCCCGCAAGGGGAGUGGCAGACGGGUGAGUAACGCGUGGGAACAUACCCUUUCCUGCGGAAUAGCUCUGGGAAACUGGAAUUAAUACCGCAUACGCCCUAAGGGGGAAAGAUUUAUCGGGGAAGGAUUGGCCCGCGUUGGAUUAGCUAGUUGGUGGGGUAAAGGCCUACCAAGGCGACGAUCAAUAGCUGGUCUGAGAGGAUGAUCAGCCACAUUGGGACUGAGACACGGCCCAAACUCCUACGGGAGGCAGCAGUGGGGAAUAUUGGACAAUGGGCGCAAGCCUGAUCCAGCCAUGCCGCGUGAGUGAUGAAGGCCUUAGGGUUGUAAAGCUCUUUCACCGAUGAAGAUAAUGACGGUAGUCGGAGAAGAAGCCCCGGCUAACUUCGUGCCAGCAGCCGCGGUAACAC